rnacentral:lncRNA from 1 species
GAACCAAAAAGCCAUUUAUUAAUUUUUUUAAAAAAUAUAUUAAGUGAUGACGCUAUGCUUCAAUUUCUUUUAAAUUUACUGUAGAUCUGAAUCUUGAAAUUGAAAUCUAUUUAGUUUUCCAGGAUCUGUUCAAACUGAUGGUAUAUUUCAGCAUGAGUACUCUGCUCCAACAGGAGAAGAUAGACCGGAAAAUGAGUUCUGUAGAUACAACAUGAGGUGGCAAAAGAAAAGAUGAGGAUACGCCAAAAGUACAACAAGGAAAUGGCAGUCAUGGAUGCUCCUAUUGCAAUACCAAAAGAUAGCAAGAAGAUGAAAGUUUG